CGCGGCCUAUCAGCUUGUUGGUGCGGUGAUGGCGCACCAAGGCGACGACGGGUAGCCGGCCUGAGAGGGUGACCGGCCACACUGGGACUGAGACACGGCCCAGACUCCUGCGGGAGGCAGCAGUGGGGAAUAUUGCACAAUGGGCGAAAGCCUGAUGCAGCGACGCCGCGUGGGGGAUGACUGCCUUCGGGUUGUAAACCCCUUUCGACUCUGACGAAGCGUAAGUGACGGUAGGAGUAGAAGAAGCACCGGCUAACUACGUGCCAGCAGCCGCGGUAAUACGUAGGGUGCGAGCGUUGUCCGGAAUUAUUGGGCGUAAAGAGCUUGUAGGCGGUUUGUCGCGUCUGUCGUGAAAACCAGGGGCUUAACUCCUGGCGUGCGGUGGGUACGGGCAGGCUAGAGUGUGGUAGGGGAGACUGGAAUUCCUGGUGUAGCGGUGAAAUGCGCAGAUAUCAGGAAGAACACCGAUGGCGAAGGCAGGUCUCUGGGCCAUUACUGACGCUGAGAAGCGAAAGCAUGGGGAGCGAACAGGAUUAGAUACCCUGGUAGUCCAUGCCGUAAACGUUGGGCGCUAGGUGUGGGGCUCAUUCCACGAGUUCUGCGCCGCAGCUAACGCAUUAAGCGCCCCGCCUGGGGA
rnacentral:rRNA from 1 species